GCCAGCAGCCGCGGUAAUACGUAGGGGGCAAGCGUUAUCCGGAAUCACUGGGCGUAAAGGGUGCGUAGGCGGCUGAUCAAGCCAGGGGUGAAAGGCAAUAGCUUAACUAUUGUGAGCCUUUGGAACUGGUCAGCUUGAGUGCAGGAGAGGAAAGCGGAAUUCCUAGUGUAGCGGUGAAAUGCGUAGAUAUUAGGAGGAACACCCGUGGCGAAGGCGGCUUUCUGGACUGUAACUGACGCUGAGGCACGAAAGCGUGGGGAGCAAACAGGAUUAGAUACCCUGGUAGUCCACGCUGUAAACGAUGAAUACUAGGUGUCGGGGGUCAAAGCCCGGUGCCGCAGCUAACGCAUUAAGUAUUCCCCCUGGGGAGUACGGUCGCAAGACUGAAACUCAAAGGAAUUGACGGGGACC
rnacentral:rRNA from 1 species